AGGAGGACUGAGAAGGUUGAGCAGCUUCUGUUGUGCUGCUAUAACUGGUUAUAGCCUCCAAGAAUAAUUUACAAACCACAUUUA